AUGUAUGUAUGUAUGUAUCUUCUAGUCUUCAACAACUAGAUGUUUAGAAUAAAAAAUCUCACAGCAGAGAUUAUAUCUAUUCAUGUUCUUUCACAAUAGAUUAUAAAAUUGGUUGAUUAUAUGACAAUCAAAUUAUCAUAUAGAAUUAAGGAUUUGAUCUAAGUACUACUUUAGCAAUUUUGAGUUUAGUAUUCACUCUUCAUCAUAUCUUGCCAUUCUUUCAUGAUUGGCUUGAAAUUACCACUUAUUAAAGCUACGAAACACCAAUAAUGAAUGUUAUAGGACACAGAGGAUCAAAUAAACUAUAAAGUCUAAUUAAAAAUUCUUGUGAAUAUCAAUUUUGUAUAUAUGCGUUACAUAUACUUUAGCUAAUUUCGAGUUAUUAAAUAGAAUAUAUGAUUCAAGUUAAAAUGUGAAAAUACUUCAAGGUAUAGGGGUGGCUAGUGAAAUUGCUCAGACUUAAGCCAACUCCUUUAUCGAAGACAGCUAUCAUAAGAAUUUUGAAUAUUUUACCGAGUCCACCUAUGUUGCAACAGUGGUACGGUACUACUGUUGCUUUCAGCCAUUGGAUCUUAAAUAUCAUUUUUCUACAAAGUAUUGAGAACAAGCAAACAAUACCUCAUGAAAGAUGAAAUUUGAUUGGAGCUUUUCAUUAAUCAAUUAAUUUUUUUUAGUUUUGAAACAAUUUUUGUUCAAGGGAAAUCUUUGAGCUAUCAUUACAAGAAAAGUAUGGAUAUUGAUCAGCAGGGUUAGUCCUGUAUACAAUAUUUGUAAUUUAAUAUUUAGAAUUGUUAUGUUUAUUUUGUUGUUAAGUAGAGAUUAGAGAGAGGGUUGUGUGGAGAUUCGGGCUAUGUAAUCAUAUAAUGAACGAUUCCUUACAGUCACACACUUGUUUGAUUAUUUGUCUAAACUGAAAAAAAAAAAAAUCAGGAGAGAGAACCUGCACAAACAUAGGAAAAUUGUGCAUAUAAUGUCAGGCGGUCUUGUUAACUAGUUACAUUAUUUUAAAAAUAAUUAAAACUUUUAAUUAAUAAAAAGAAUGUGCACCAUUGAUUAAAUCUAAUGGUAUAUAUAUUUUUACAUUAUUGAUAUUGUAAAAGAGUUACAUCAUUAUAGAAGGACCCUUAUUUAUUAAACACUUUAAAACUAUAACUUUUUUAAGCCACAACUCCCCACAAGAGCACCACGUCAAAUUGAAUAAACUUAAAUGUAAUUUUCACAAAGAAUGAUCUAAAUAGGACCUACUCAACCUAUAUCAUUUCUAUUCAGCUAUUAACUUUAGUAAAUUACAUCAUAAGUUGUCCUUCUUUGCUGAUAAAUAAAAUAACAAUAAUUAUCUUUCUUAAUUAAUUCUGGUUAUUCUUUUCAUGAAAUAUUCAAGUUGUAAUUUUUUAUUUUAUUCUUCAUAAAUAAAGGGAAACCAACAUACCAGAUUUAUAGAGGAUAUCGGUUUUCGGGCGAA
rnacentral:lncRNA from 1 species